AAGAAAAACAAAAGUGAGCACUUGGUGAAAGUGGUCUGCUCUGCCAAAGAAGCAAGAGACAUUUGAGGAAUUUCAUUCCAGCCACUUUGGUGGACACUGAUGGGAGAAGACCCACAGUGCUGUCAUGGCACGCUCUUACUGGCCUGGAGGGGGACAUUCAAAAAUGGAUCGUGUAUCUAAAAGGAGGUGCGGGUUGUCCUUGGGGCAACAAACACAAAUGGAAAAGUGCAGGGACGUAACAAGAGCUCUGGUUAGGAGGAAAUGUCCAGCCAUUGGUAAAUGGACAUGCUCAAUGGUCACCCAUCCUAAACAACAGGACAUUACAUCCUGUUGUGUCUUUGUAUGCAGGCUUGCAGAACAAAUUCUAUCGGGGACAACGAGACGCUACCCUGUUGAUGAGGAGGGGGUUGCCAGGCUCAGACUGGACAUAGCUCUCCGUGUUCCAACACUCAGGGCCAGUGGGUGACCAAAAUGAAAGGGAAUCGGACACUGAUGAGGAAGAGGGUCGGCCACCCACAGCAGGGAGGAAGAGAAGGGAUCGGGACGACGAGCUGCUCAAUCUCAAAGAGGAUAUGCAGCAUCAAAGGGAGGCCGAGGAGAGCCGGGAGCGGAUGGACUGACUCCUCCCCCAUUGUGGGACGUUUA
ensembl:lncRNA